UACGUAGGGUGCGAGCGUUAAUCGGAAUUACUGGGCGUAAAGCGUGCGCAGGCGGUUGGUUAAGUCUGAUGUGAAAGCCCCGGGCUCAACCUGGGAAUGGCAUUGGAAACUGGCUAGCUGGAGUGUGGCAGAGGGGGGUGGAAUUCCGCGUGUAGCAGUGAAAUGCGUAGAGAGUGACGGAGGAACACCGAUGGCGAAGGCAGCCCCCUGGGCCAACACUGACGCUCAGGCACGAAAGGCGUGGGGAGCAAACAGG
rnacentral:rRNA from 1 species